ACUCUUGCUGUUGCUUACACAUGCACAACAUAUUCAUUAAUUUUGUCUGUUUUUUUUUUAAGGUGCCAUGCUGAAUGAGUGUGAGGUGUCCGAAGUUAUUAUCUACGGAUGUAAUUAUACACUAACUGUCGAUUUAUUUGGAAAGAAAAUUUGGCCGUUUAUAAUAGAAAAAUGUUCCUGGUUAGUUUCAGUAUGGCGAGUAUGAAUAAGUGCACAUGGAGAUAUUUCAGUCAGUUAUUUCUCUGGGUUUUGGUUGUUUCAUGUAGCUAUUCAAGGCUAAAGUGGUCAUGCAUCCUGUAAAUUAGCUGUCAUCCAAAUUUCGAUUUUGCACCAGAGUAUGAUGGUUUUGUUUGAACAUUUUGUGUUUGGUCAGAUUAAACGGGCUGCUGGUAUUUUGUACAGAGAUGAUUCUGUCAAGCCAUGAGAGAAAACUAUAUGCAGAGACAGAAAGGAAUGUUUGCACACUAGUUGCACAUAAAUGCAUUUAGCCAAUCACACGAAAACGAUUGUGAUGGUAAUAUUAUGCAAAGAAAGCUAUCUCGGGAUUCUUAUGCAACGCUUGUCAGGUUCACAAUGGGUGCUUUUGGUUAAGCCUUGCUCAGGUUUGCUUUCAGGGCAAUUUUAUGUUAUGUUGGAUGUUUUUAAAAUGACAUACUGUACAUAGAAUAAAAUGCAUCCAUCAGCUAAGGUCUAUAUAGAAGGGUCAAUGUAUCAAGGCCGUCUGUUUCUCGCAAUAGACGUUAACAGACCUACACAUGCACACAUCUGUUUUGCUGUCAUGUUAGUGCUGUUUCCUCUCAGCGAUCCACAGACCAACUGCCAAAGCUUCCACAUGUUCAUUUCAUUCAGCUUCUCUUACAGGAUGUGCCUGAUGAGACAUAAAACACUCUAGUUUGUGACAGAACUGAAUGCUACAAAAGACAGCAAUAGAACCUCACUUUUAACAUUAUUAGACUGGACAGUACUGUUAAAAUAAUAUUCGCAACAUUACUAAUAAUUUUAAACAAGGAUGUAAAUGGUAAAAAAAAAAAAAAAAGAUAAAAAAA